rnacentral:rRNA from 1 species
UACGAAGGGGGCUAGCGUUGUUCGGAAUUAUUGGGCGUAAAGGGCGCGUAGGCGGAUAUAUAAGUCAGAUGUGAAAUUCCGAGGCUCAACUUCGGAGCCGCAUUUGAAACUAUAAAUCUCGAGGAUUGGCGGAGAGAACGGAAUUCCACGUGUAGCGGUGAAAUGCGUAGAUAUGUGGAAGAACACCGGUGGCGAAAGCGGUUCUCUAGCUAAUAACUGACGCUGAGGCGCGAGAGCAAGGGGAGCAAACAGG